GAAUAAGAAGCGAAAAAUUGCAUUCAGUUUCGACCUGAAAUCAUGGUAAUAUACCCUUAUUCU
rnacentral:tRNA from 1 species